ensembl:snRNA U2 U2 spliceosomal RNA
ACUGCUUCUCAGCCUUUUGGCUGAGAUCAAGUGUAAUACCUGUUGUUACAUGCUAAUAUCUGAUUCCUCCUCUAUCCAAGGACAGUAUGCUAAACGGAUUUUGGAAGCAGGGAGCUAAAACAGGAGUUUGCUCCAACCACUCCACACACCGACCUGGUACUGCAGUACCUCCAGGAAUGACACACCCCCU